rnacentral:rRNA from 1 species
UACGUAGGGAGCAAGCGUUAUCCGGAAUUAUUGGGUGUAAAGGGUGCGUAGACGGGAUAACAAGUUAGUUGUGAAACCCCUCGGCUUAACUGAGGAACUGCAACUAAAACUAUUAUUCUUGAGUGCAGGAGGGGAAAGUGGAAUUCCAAGUGUAGCGGUGAAAUGCGUAGAUAUUUGGAAGAACACCAGUGGCGAAGGCGACUUUCUGGACUGUAACUGACGUUGAGGCACGAAAGUGUGGGGAG